AAAGAUUCUGAUGUAAGUGAGGUUGCGCCAAGCCCUAGAAACGAGUCCCAAUCCAGUUUCACUGUUGGAACAUCUCAAAGUGAACCUGAACUACAAGCAAUUGCUGAAGCAAACUUGCAUCCCAGCAUUUCUGAGACUUCUCCCAGCACAGAAUCUGGUGCCCAGAAGGAAUCCCUUUCACCUAGGCUUGCUUCAAAUGCUGAAACUGUUGAGGCUCUAACAGAAACGUUUGCCAGCCGUCAUGACACGAAUUACGUAGCUGAUUUACAGGGUAACUUGAGUUUUGAUGUAAAGGAUGAUAUUUCUAAUUCUGAAAUUGAUGUAUCUCAACUCUGUCCAGCUGAUGGAUCAUCUGAGAAUCACCCAGAAUUAGAACAGGUUGUGGUGGAAGAUGUGAGAACUGACAUUUGUGAGGAGUCUGCCUCAGAUGUAGUUGAUGAUAUUGUACUGCGACAAACAGAGAAUGCUGACGGUCAGUGUCACGAUGGUUUGUCUGUUGAGACUCAUGAGAGCAAAAGAGCUGAAGAUAAGGUUGACGUUUUAAAUGGUGAAUUAAAUAAACAUCUAUCCAGCACAAUUGCUGGAACAUCCAAAAAGGUGGCAGAUCUGGAGUUAGUUGCCGAAGCGAACACAGGGAAGAUAAAUGAUGGCUCAGUAGAUACAGGUCAGGUGGCAGAUAAGUCCGAGGAUAUGGCAGUCCGAGAUCUUACUGUGGAAGGACAAGAGAGUAAGGAAACUGAUGCCGCAGGAGAUACUUCAACAUCAAAAAAUGAGGUGGAAUCACAAUCUGCUGUUGUAGAAAAUAUAGGAAGCAAGUCAGUAGCAUCAGGGGAGGUAACAGCUGCUGAACUUCUGAUAGAAGGGUCUGAGCAUUUGCAUGUCCAUGCCGCAGGAGAUACUUCAACAUCAAAAAAUGAGGUGGAAUCACAAUCUGCUGUUGUAGAAAAUAUAGGAAGCAAGUCAGUAGCAUCAGGGGAGGUAACAGCUGCUGAACUUCUGAUAGAAGG
rnacentral:misc_RNA from 1 species